rnacentral:rRNA from 2 species
UGGGGAAUAUUGGACAAUGGGCGCAAGCCUGAUCCAGCCAUGCCGCGUGAGUGAUGAAGGCCCUAGGGUUGUAAAGCUCUUUCACCGGUGAAGAUAAUGACGGUAACCGGAGAAGAAGCCCCGGCUAACUUCGUGCCAGCAGCCGCGGUAAUACGAAGGGGGCUAGCGUUGUUCGGAUUUACUGGGCGUAAAGCGCACGUAGGCGGACUAUUAAGUCAGGGGUGAAAUCCCGGGGCUCAACCCCGGAACUGCCUUUGAUACUGGUAGUCUUGAGUUCGAGAGAGGUGAGUGGAAUUCCGGGUGUAGAGGUGAAAUUCGUAGAUAUUCGGAGGAACACCAGUGGCGAAGGCGGCUCACUGGCUCGAUACUGACGCUGAGGUGCGAAAGCGUGGGGAGCAAACAGG